UGGGAACCUUAGAAGCUGCUGCCACAGUGACCCCAGAGCACUCUCUCUGUGACCCUAUGCCCCUUUUACAUCAUUUCAGCAUACUCUCUGUGACUGCUAUGCCCCUUAUUACAUCAUUCAGGAUGAAUGGGAGCUGAAGGUACUUUGCUUGGACUUUCCUUGUACCAAUACGUGUGCAACUGAGCUACAGAGUCUCCCAGAGUCUCCAGACCGUACUUGGCUUUGAAUAUCUGAUCCACAUCCAUGCAGAAGACAUAGUCAACCUCAUGCUGUAUGUGACCUGCGAUGUGUUCACUGAUGACCUUCAUGCGCACCAUGCUGAUAUCUUGCCACCUCCGCUCUUGCUUAAUCUUAAAAAUCUUUAGUGUCCGAUGGCGACUCAGAUCUACCCAUGGCAUAUAGGAGAAGUCGUCCAGCAUGAUGUAAAUGAUGACCUUCUGGUUGACCAUGAAGAACCUAUCGGCAGAUUCCAGGAAGUGACCCAAGUAGUACAAAAGGGUCUACAGAUCGUGGGACAGAAGAGGGGCUCUUUGAGAGAAGAAAUGAACAUUAGUGAGACAGAAAUGCACCAAUGAACUUCUGGUGGUGUCUGGACAGCUUCCUGCAGCUUCUGGAGACUCAGGCUGAUUGGCAGAGCCUCGAGGUUUCUUCUGGAUGGAACUGCCAUUUCUAAUUCAUGAACGGUGCUUGCAAGUGGAUCAACCUCCUACUACUGGUUUGUGUGAACUGAACUGCUGCUAGCCUGACAAUUGCCCCAAAGAACUGCUUCUAACCAGGUCUACA